rnacentral:lncRNA from 1 species
UUGAUACAUAAAGAUUUUAGGAUCAAAUACAUACGCGAGUCUAUACUAAUCCAUAACACAAUACAAACCUCUCAUUUUAUUUGCAUCUCAAUAUCUACAAACCUGCUUGCGUCCACAAGAAUCUCAUGAUGAAUUAUUACUUUGCAUUCCAUGCCAGCGAAGGAUGCCUUAUCAUCAGACUAUUAUCAUACCAUGAUGACGACGACUGGUCGAGCAAUCGAUGAAAAUUUUAGGAUAAUCAUGAGCCCUUUGACGAUGACUUAUAAAAAUAAAUGAAGUAAAAAAUUUGCUAUUGCCUCACAGCCAACACGAC